rnacentral:rRNA from 1 species
CCUACGGGGGGCAGCAGUGGGGAAUCUUGCACAAUGGGGGCAACCCUGAUGCAGCGACGCCGCGUGAGCGAUGAAGCCCCUCGGGGUGUAAAGCUCUUUCGGCAGGGACGAUUAUGACGGUACCUGCAGAAGCAGCUGCGGCUAACUACGUGCCAGCAGCCGCGGUAAUACGUAGGCAGCAAGCGUUGUUCGGAAUUACUGGGCGUAAAGGGUGUGUAGGCGGCUAUCCAAGUUUGGUGUGAAAUCUCCCGGCUCAACUGGGAGGGUGCGCCGAAAACUGGAUGGCUCGAGUGCGGGAUGGGAAAGUGGAAUUCCUGGUGUAGCGGUGAAAUGCGUAGAUAUCAGGAGGAACACCGGUGGUGUAGACGGCUUUCUGGACCGCAACUGACGCUGAGACACGAAAGCGUGGGUAGCAAACAGGAUUAGAUACCCUAGUAGUC